UGGGGAAUAUUGCACAAUGGGCGGAAGCCUGAUGCAGCGACGCCGCGUGGGGGAUGAAGGCCUUCGGGUUGUAAACUCCUUUCGACAGGGACGAAGCUUUUGUGACGGUACCUGUAUAAGAAGCACCGGCUAACUACGUGCCAGCAGCCGCGGUAAUACGUAGGGUGCGAGCGUUGUCCGGAAUUACUGGGCGUAAAGAGCUCGUAGGUGGUUUGUCGCGUCGUCUAUGAAAUUCCGGGGCUUAACUCCGGGCGUGCAGGCGAUACGGGCUGACUUGAGUGCUGUAGGGGAGACUGGAAUUCCUGGUGUAGCGGUGAAAUGCGCAGAUAUCAGGAGGAACACCGAUGGCGAAGGCAGGUCUCUGGGCAGUAACUGACGCUGAGGAGCGAAAGCAUGGGUAGCGAACAGG
rnacentral:rRNA from 1 species